UUGAAUAUUCUUGACGGGUUGUAGCUGGCUCUUUGGAGCAUGUGCACGCCUGUCUUGAUUUUAUUCAUCCACCUGUGCACUUUCUGUAGUCUUGGGGAGAGAAGAUCAAUUAUCGGGAUGAUUAUUCCGGAUGUGAGAAUUGCCGAGUGCGAAAGCAUACAGCUUUUCUCAAAAUGAUUUCUCCCUCAAGUACUAUGUUUUCAUAUACCACAUAGUAUGUUGUAGAAUGUGAUCAAUGGGCUUAUGCCUAUAAUAAUCAUAUA
rnacentral:misc_RNA from 1 species